rnacentral:lncRNA from 13 species
CUGAUAGGUAAUAGAUCUUAACUUAGUAAAGCUAAUUGACAGGAAUCCUAAUUAUGAUUGCAAAGUUUUUGUCAGAACAAAUGACAAAACAAUAAUCUACUCUUGUUUAAUUAAUUUUUACUUAGCAGCUUUAAAGGUAAAUUUGUUAAGAUUCAAGAGUGGAAGGCCAAGCCAUCUGUUCCCAUCUACUAUCCUGUGACUUACUGUGAAUAAUAUUUAUGCAUUUUGAAUGCUGCCAAGACAAUUGAAUGUCAAAAAGCUUCUACGCAUAAGCAUAUUUGUAUUCUCUCUCGCAGAGCUGGAUUAGUAUGUUGAGAAGACAUUGGCAAUCCAGGUGUUGUGGCACAUGAUAACAUCCAGAGGAUCUUCUGUAAAGAGCCAAGUUUUACUCUAUCAAGUCUGAAAUAAAACCAGGACUAAUGCUGCAAAGGUCAGAGGGAAGAUGGAGUGUUUUGUAACAAAGAUAUUUCUCAUACAACUAGACUUGCUGACCACAGAGGUGCGGAAAAUGAUGUCCUGGGGGAGUUGCAUCACAUUUCUCAUGUCUGGGGGAGUUAACGUGCGCAAAGUAUCUAAAUCACUGAGCCCUGAAAGUCACCAUAUGAAUUUAAUUAUUUUCCUGAUUACAAUAAUGUGCGAGUUUGAGAAAAGUAUGUUAGAUUGCUGGAGUGCUCUUCCUUAGCCAGUGGGCCCAUUUUUGUGUAUCUGUGGGAAGUCUUUCUAUCUGAUCAAAUUAUGUGACUGAUUGGUUUGAGAUGAUUAAUAUUUUAGUACUACCAAAGAUAUUUAAAUAGAAAAUGACUUCAUUGCUAAACAAGCUAAAACUAUAAUUCAUUUACUUUUGGCUAAAAGUUAUUCCAAAAAUAUACUAAGUAACCUAAAUGUAAAAGUUCAAUUGCAUUUUUUACCUACUUUUGCAUACAGAUUUUAGAAUUACCCUAUGUAUAUAUGUUAAAGAUCUGUUUAUAGAUACUAUUGCUUAAUUGUGUUUCAAAAUAUAUUUAUCCAUAUCUCUAUCUCAGUGUCUAGGACAUUGCCUCAUACAGAGGAUGACCAAUAAACAUUUGAUGCACAAGUUGAUAGUUCCUUUU